rnacentral:lncRNA from 1 species
GGGUAUUUUGGUAACUGCAACAACUGUUGGGACAUGGGCAGGUUCAAAGUAUGAGAUUGCAUGUACAAUGUGUGCAGCUUGUGACAACCCCUGUGCCACCCCAUCUCCGCCACCUCCUCCGCCGCCAUCAUCCUCUAACAAUUGUCCUCCGCCACCCUCUCCUCCUAGCUCCGGUGGUGGAAAUUACUAUUAUUCACCACCACCACCACCCUCCUCCUCCUCUAGUGGUGGUGGCGGCGGCAAUUCCUUUUACUCACCACCUCCACCUGGUGGUGUAAUUGGUGGUUACUACCCUCCACCCUACCAAAAUUACCCUUCUGGCCCUGUUCCUCCACCUCCUAAUCCUAUUGUUCCCUAUUUCCCCUUCUACUUCUAUAAUCCUCCACCACCUUCACAAUCUGCUGCUUUUAAGCUCACUCAUUAUUAUUCUUCUUUUAUCACCACUAUGUUCAUUCUCUUCUACAUUUUCCUUUGAGAAUUUUCCAAGGAAAAAUGUAAAAAUAAAGUGUCGGAAUCGCAGAUCUACAAACUUGCAGAGGUGAGAGCAAGAUGGAUUAAUCCUUUUCCUGAAGAUUAUUCAAUUCUCUUCAGAGAAAGAAAGGAGAAAAAUGGAAGGGUGAAUUGAAUAGCUGAAGUGAAGUUCUCUUCUUGCUCUCAUCCUGUGGAGAAUCUGUAAAUUCUUGACCAUUGCUUCGCAAUUUUUAGCUUCUUUUUUUGUUAACUUAAUUCAUAUUAAUGUUUCUAAUUCGUAUAGAAUGUAAGAAAAUUACUUUAGUCAAUUUUGCAAGAAUUACAAAGUCAACUUCUAAC